rnacentral:rRNA from 1 species
UACGUAUGGUGCAAGCGUUAUCCGGAUUUACUGGGUGUAAAGGGAGCGCAGGCGGCACGGCAAGCCUGAUGUGAAAGCCCGCGGCCCAACCGCGGGACUGCAUUGGGAACUACCGGGCUGGAGUGCCGGAGAGGUAGGCGGAAUUCCUAGUGUAGCGGUGAAAUGCGUAGAUAUAAGGAGGAACACCAGUGGCGAAGGCGGCCUACUGGACGGUGACUGACGCUGAGGCUCGAAAGCGUGGGGAGCAAACAGG